UGAACUGGGGUUUAUUAAGUUCACACUACUCAACUUCCUGUGUUAUCGGGAAGCUUAGAGUCGCCACACACACUACAGCAUCUUUCACCAGGAGGACUCCUGUAGUGUGAACGAGGCAUUUGUUUCCACACAGUCUUUGUAAAAGCAGGCUGCCUCUGUAUGUGUGUUCAUCUGUAUUUCUUUCUUUCUCUCUCUAGGAGUAAAGUUCUACGUGCUGAGUCUUUGAAGAGCAUAAAACAGCGUCUACGAGAUUCAAGUAAGACCACAACAAACUUUGACCCGAACGCCGUCAUUGUCAUAGACGAGCCUCCAGCUGUGAAAUGUCAAACACAGCCCCCUCCUUCGGAACCGUCCACCGUUACUGAGCCCAUCACAGCAGGACCAAGUGACGUAGCCAUGAAGGAGGACGGGGAGAAACCUGAGAUCGUCACGGACUCAACUGUUGUUCCCGAGGCAAAUGAAGAUGUAGAGAAAGUGGAAGUAAAGAUGGAAGAGGGGUCUGAUGUGACGUCUGCGGUGACGUCUGAUGUGACGUCUGCUGCGACGUCUGAUGCGACGUCUGAUGUCACAUCUGCUGCGACGUCUGAUGCGACGUCUGAUGCGAAGUCUGGUGCGAAGUCUGGUGCGAAGUCUGGUGCGAAGUCUGAUGCGACGUCUGACGUCACGUCUGAUGCGAAGUCUGGUGCGAAGUCUGAUGCGAAGUCUGACGUCACGUCUGGUGCGAAGUCUGGUGCGAAGUCUGACGUCACGUCUGAUGCGAAGUCUGGUGCGAAGUCUGGUGCGAAGUCUGACGUCACGUCUGAUGCGAAGUCUGGUGCGAAGUCUGGUGCGAAGUCUGACGUCACGUCUGAUGCGAAGUCUGAUGCGAAGUCUGGUGCGAAGUCUGGUGCGAAGUCUGACGUCACGUCUGAUGCGAAGUCUGGUGCGAAGUCUGGUGCGAAGUCUGACGUCACGUCUGAUGCAAAGUCUGGUGCGAAGUCUGGUGCGAAGUCUGCUGUCAGCAGUGGAACCACAGGCCCGGCUGCUUCCAGUCCUGCCCCGUCAGCUGCAGCGCUCAAGCCUGAAGGAACCUCUGCAGAACUUCCUCCGAUUAACGCAGAUGAUUUCCAGGCCAUCACGGCAGCGGUCCGCAAUCAUAGACUCACCCGUGUGAGCAGUAGCCGGAUGGGGAGGAAGCAGUUUCAUCUUGAUUUCACAGAUGACGCUCUUCCUUCAGACGCCUAUAUUUUUGAUGACCAAAAUAUAAACAUGAAGGACUUUGUCACCGUUGAUGAAGUUGGUGGUGAUGACCGGAAAUACACGCGCACCCACCCUCGUAGAUCCUCUUCAUCGAAACACUCCAGAGGGGAGAGGUUUAGGGCAGACGGCAGACGGACCUCAAAGAGCUCUUCGAAAGCCCCUUCCUCAUCCACCUCAUCCAAUUCAACUAAAGGCUCAAGCUCUUCUAGCUUUGCGUCACCAAAAAAGCCCAAGGACUCAUCUGAGUCCACCAAAUCCCCAGCCUCUGCCCACGUCAGUAAGGCCUCCUCCUCUUCUUCUUCACUGUCUGCUGCAAGGCCUUCUUCCUCUGGUCAGAAAACACAACAGAACAAGACAAAAUCUCCAGCCAAAGCAUCAAGUACGGCAUCCUCCGCUGCUAGUACCCGCUCAUCCUCCGCUGCACGUGAAACAGAAAAGAAAACAUCAGCAGCAACUGUGGAGGCGUCGAUGGAGCGUCCUUCAGAGUCUCUUAAAGACGAAGUGAAAGCCACUGAGAGGACAGUGGCAAAGUCUGACCACAAAGUGUCAGCAGAGGGCAUUGCUGCAAAAACUGUUGAGUCGGAGACAAAACUAGAAGCAUCAUCAGAGAUGCAUCCACCUCGACAGGGACACGGCUUAGAGUUGAGCCAAGCACAGAGUCUGGACAAUGAUUCUAAUGUCGACUACACUCAAAGACCAGAAGAAAAGCAAAGAGGAAGGGAAAGAAGACAAACCUACAACGGUGGAGGAGGACGGCGGGGAAAAAUACCAAAUCCUUGA
rnacentral:lncRNA from 1 species